ACGCUUAAUACGAUUUCUCGCAUAAUACGCCAUUUUGCAUCAGUCCCUGCAACUUGAGACAUCUUUUCAUACAUUCUUUAACGCAUAAUACGAUUCGUCAUCCCGUUUAAUACGCCCUAACGCCAACACAUAUUACCUCUGCGGUAGCGGCCAGCGGACUGACUGAACUGCGGCGAACUACAAAAGUUAAACUACGUUGAAAAUCUUGUAAUUGCUAAUGCCUCAAAAUCUUUUUGUCAAACUAAAAUAAGUGAUUAUUUUAAAUAACGUGAUAGAUACACAGCAUUUUAUACAACGUACAUAAUUUUUAAAUUUACAAUUCAAUACUUAAUAUUAAUUCAAACUUAUGUAGUAGAUCCGUUUUUUAUUUCCCUAUAUCCCGCAUAAUACGCUUUCCCGCUUAAGACGCGUUUUUGGUUGAGUCCCUGUGAAAUCGUCUUAAACGGGUUUUACUGUAUAUUAUAAUUCUCUUUGGUUUGUCGGUUUCAUUCUGCUUAUAAAAAAAUGAAGGUUAAUUUAAUAAUCUUAUAAAAUCUGAUUUAUUUUAAAAUUAAAUUAUUUAUUAAGUUUAAAGUAUUAAAUUGAACAGCCUAUAAUUGCUAUUUAUUCGACAAAUAAAUCAUAAAAAAAUAAAUUGUGAAGUUGAGAAAUCAGUUGUCCGUAAUAAUUUUUUGUUCUAAUCUUAUGUAUUUACUAUGAAACGAAAUGUCUCGCAGAAAACCUAGUUUUCUUACCAAUGAUUUGUUUCCGAGAGAAAUCGAUAUCGAAGUAUGUUUGAAAACAUUAAAAAUAUAUCAAAAAAUUGAAGGUGAUGUAAACUGUGUUGUAUGGGAUGCUUCUCUAGUAUUGGCAAAAUAUCUUGAAACUAUGUGUCACCAGAAAUCAGAUUUUCUAAGCGGUAUAAAAGUUUUGGAGCUGGGAGCUGGGCUAGGGGUUGUGGGCCUUGCAGCUGCUACUUUAGGGUUAGUAAGCAAUUUAGUAACAUCUUAGAUGUGUAAUUCUUAAAUAAAUUGGCAUUUUUACUAUUAUAUUAGAAUUAAGACAUUUGGUUUUGGGAAAGUACAGAGCCAGAAAUUCCAAGAGCCCAAGUAACACUUACAGACUUACCUGAGGCAAUGACUUUGCUUCGUUUAAAUAUAAAUGAAAACAAGGCAAAAAUCUCCAGUAUGGGAGGAUAUGCCACGGCAGAAUCUCUUGUUUGGGGCGAAGGCAGUUCAGAGAUAUAUAAAGAUGAAUGGGACAUGAUUGUAUUAGCUGAUUGCGUGUACUAUGAAGAGCGCAACAUCCUUCCCUGUGAUUGAGUGCCUUCAACCUUGUCCUAGAUGACAAGACAUUCUAUGGACUGGUUGCCUUGCCUAGAAACAUGUCUAAUGAAAUCAAGAAUGCAGGACUGUAUUAAGGCGGAUAGACACUUAAAGAAAUAUAUACAUAUUAUAAAAUAAACUCACCUGUAUUAAUAUGAUAAACUCAAAUACUAUCCAAUGGAUUUUGAUGAAAUUUGGUAUAGAGGUAGUUUGAGAACCUGGGGAGGACAUAAGCUACUUCUAUCCUGGAAAAUUAUACUCUAUGUAGAUCCAAUAUAAAAAUUCCUUUAAGCUCAUUUAAAGUUGGUAUGAUAUCACUUAUUUAAGCUGAAAUUAAACUUGGAAAGUUUUGUUUUUAAACAUUGUGACAGAUUUUUCUAAUUGAAAUUAUAUAUGUAAUUAUUUAAAUAAUUUUAUAAAUAAUAAGUUUACCCUCAUAAUCGAAAUCACGACGAGAACCGCAAGGGACAGGGAAUAAUGCUAAAUGCUGGAGGCCUUCUGACAAAAGAACUAACUUUAAAGAGGACUGCUGUGGAAGACAGCUAAAGCUAUUGACCCAUUGAUAGAAACACUGCAAAAUUUAAAUUCUUCAACUAAUAAGAGGAUGGUCAUAUAUUUGACUCAAGAACUCCGAGAUUCAGAAGUACAGAAGCAAUUAUGGGACAAAUUUUAUACAAAAUUGACUAAUAUUUUUAAUGUAAUAAAAAUACCAGAAGAGGAACAACAUGCCAAUUAUCGAAGUGAAGAUAUCAUAUUA
rnacentral:misc_RNA from 1 species